rnacentral:rRNA from 1 species
AUUGAACGCUGGCGGCAGGCCUAACACAUGCAAGUCGAACGAGUGGCGGACGGGUGAGUAAUGUCUGGGAAACUGCCCGAUGGAGGGGGAUAACUAAUGGAAACGGUAGCUAAUACCGCAUACCAUCGGAUGUGCCCAGAUUGGAUUAGCUAGUCGGUGGGGUAACGGAUCACCUAGGCGACGAUCCCUAGCUGGUACGAGAGGCUGACCAGCAACACUGGAACGUAGACACGGUCCAGACUACUACGGGAGGCAGCAGUGGGGAAUAUUGCACAAUGGGCGAAAGCCGGAUGCAGCAAUGCCGCGUGUAUGAAGAAGGCUUUCGGGUUGUAAAGUACUUUCAGCGAGGAGGCGGUACUCGCAGAAGAAGCACCGGCUAACUCCGUGCCAGCAGCCGCGGUAAUAC